rnacentral:rRNA from 1 species
CAGUCGCCGCGGUAAUACGGAGGGUGCAAGCGUUAAUCGGAAUUACUGGGCGUAAAGCGCACGCAGGCGGUCUGUCAAGUCAGAUGUGAAAUCCCCGGGCUUAACCUGGGAACUGCAUUUGAAACUGGCAGGCUAGAGUCUUGUAGAGGGGGGUAGAAUUCCAGGUGUAGCGGUGAAAUGCGUAGAGAUCUGGAGGAAUACCGGUGGCGAAGGCGGCCCCCUGGACAAAGACUGACGCUCAGGUGCGAAAGCGUGGGGAGCAAACAGGAUUAGAUACCCCUGUAGUCCCUGUCUCUUAUCA